UAGCUUUUAAUGUAACUUAUAUAUCUCAACUCAAAGAUCCAACGUAACAAUAUAUAACUGCAAAUCGUUGGAGCUUGUUGUCAUAGUGGAGGUCCUGGAACAAUGUCCCCUAUUGGAGUGAAGUUGUACAUUGAGGAUCGUCAUGUUACUGCUCCAUGCUUGCUGUAGAAAAUUUACUCACUUUUAGGUGACCUGAUAUAGUAAACUUCUGUGCACUGCCCAGUGUAUAUUAGUUAAACUCCUAUUUGUUUCCCUUAAUUGUUGUUUGAUCUGGAGAAGUCGUCGUACGUGUUGCUUUUGUCUUACCAGCAAGCAUUAGAACCAGUAUUUUCAGAAAAUCACUACCGGAAAAUAGGCCUAUGGCAACAGCAGGUAAACCGUUGCAAUUGAUAGGCCAACCGUUGCCAUAGAUGUAUUGGAACGGUUCAGUGACCGCUCAGUGCCAAUAGAUCUACAGCAACGGUUUUGGCAACGGUUGACAACACCGUUGCUAUAGAUCCAGCUACGCAACGGUUUUUCCUCUGUCUGAAGCAACGAAUAUUCAUUUCAACUGCAACGGUUAAAAACCGUUACCGUAUAGUUUAUGCAACGGUUGUAAACUGUUACCAUAUUAUUUACUACAAUGGUUGGAAACUGUUACAAUAUAGUUUAUUGCAACGGUUAUGUAUGCUAUUGCAACGCUUAUUUACAGCUAUUGUAACGGUUUUAUU